rnacentral:rRNA from 1 species
UACGGAGGGUGCAAGCGUUAUCCGGAUUCACUGGGUUUAAAGGGUGCGUAGGUGGGCAGGUAAGUCAGUGGUGAAAUCUUUGGGCUUAACCCGAAAACUGCCAUUGAUACUAUUUGUCUUGAAUAUUGUGGAGGUCAGCGGAAUAUGUCAUGUAGCGGUGAAAUGCUUAGAGAUGACAUAGAACACCAAUUGCGAAGGCAGCUGGCUACGCAUAUAUUGACACUGAUGCACGAAAGCGUGGGGAUCAAACAGG